UGACACUGCGCCGAAAAUGUACCGGGGCUAAACAUAUUACCGAAGCUGUGGAUUGUCCUUUGGACAAUGGUAGGAGAGCGUUCUAAGGGCGUUGAAGCAUGAUCGUAAGGACAUGUGGAGCGCUUAGAAGUGAGAAUGCCGGUGUGAGUAGCGAAAGACGGGUGAGAAUCCCGUCCACCGAUUGACUAAGGUUUCCAGAGGAAGGCUCGUCCGCUCUGGGUUAGUCGGGUCCUAAGCUGAGGCCGACAGGCGUAGGCGAUGGAUAACAGGUUGAUAUUCCUGUACCACCUAUAAUCGUUUUAAUCGAUGGGGGGACGCAGUAGGAUAGGCGAAGCGUGCGAUUGGAUUGCACGUCUAAGCAGUAAGGCUGAGUAUUAGGCAAAUCCGGUACUCGUUAAGGCUGAGC
rnacentral:rRNA from 1 species